UACGUAGGGUGCGAGCGUUAAUCGGAAUUACUGGGCGUAAAGCGCGUGUAGGCGGAUGAGCAAGUCUGCUGUGAAAGCUCCUGGCUUAACCGGGAGUGGUCGGUGGAAACUGCUCGUCUGGAGGACGGUAGAGGUAGGUAGAAUUCCCGGUGUAGUGGUGAAAUGCGUAGAGAUCGGGAGGAAUGCCUGUGGCGAAGGCGGCCUACUGGGCCGGACCUGACGCUGAGACGCGAAGGCGUGGGGAGCGAACGGG
rnacentral:rRNA from 1 species